UACGUAGGGUGCGAGCGUUAAUCGGAAUUACUGGGCGUAAAGCGUGCGCAGGCGGUUCGUGAUGUCUGAUGUGAAAGCCCCGGGCUCAACCUGGGAACUGCAUUGGAAACUAGCGGGCUGGAGUGUGGCAGAGGGGGGUGGAAUUCCGCGUGUAGCAGUGAAAUGCGUAGAUAUGCGGAGGAACACCGAUGGCGAAGGCAAUCCCCUGGGCCUGCACUGACGCUCAUGCACGAAAGCGUGGGGAGCAAACAGG
rnacentral:rRNA from 1 species